rnacentral:tRNA from 1 species
AGGCCUUGGAGUGUAACACGCAGGAUUGCAACUCCUGAAACGCAGAGAAGUUCUGCCGGGGCUUC